rnacentral:rRNA from 1 species
UACGGGGGGGGCAAGCGUUGUUCGGAAUUACUGGGCGUAAAGGGCGUGUAGGCGGCCAACUAAGUCCGACGUGAAAUCCCCAGGCUUAACCUGGGAACUGCGUCGGAUACUGGAUGGCUUGAAUCCGGGAGAGGGAUGCGGAAUUCCAGGUGUAGCGGUGAAAUGCGUAGAUAUCUGGAGGAGCACCGGUGGCGAAGGCGGCAUCCUGGACCGGCAUUGACGCUAAAGCGCGAAAGCCAGGGGAGCAAACGGG